rnacentral:rRNA from 1 species
CCAAUUCUGAAAUGUUGACCUCGAAAUCAGGUAGGAAUACCCGCUGAACUUAAGCAU